GCCUACGGCCAUACCACCCUGAAAGCGCCGAUCUCGUCUGCUCGAAGCUAAGCAGGGACGGGCUUGGUUAGUACCUGGAUGGUAGAGUCCGCCUGGGAAUACCAGGUGUUGUAGGCU
rnacentral:rRNA from 1 species